AGACUGAGGCAAUCGCUGCUGAAGUCAGUGUUGUAAUGAUGAAUCGGGAUUUUUAAAUGAAGUGGGUUUGAAUACUCUUGACUGUUUUGUAAAAUCGAGUUACGUCUGUGAUUGAAGGAUUAAAAGGGUGUCUAUAGGAUUGAGUAUGCGGAGUGAAUGAAAUUUAUUGGGUUAAUCUAACCAGACAGUCAGUGGAUACAAGAUCGUAAGUACAAAGCAGUAUUGAAGGUUAACAGUUUGGGUUGUACGGGGUUCUCUGUAACGUCUAGAGACCUACCGGCUGGGGCAAAAAGGACUUCGACAAGCAGUCGAAGAGCACCCAUAUAGAUUUACGGUACAUUGUUGUAGUCGUUUAUAUU
rnacentral:lncRNA from 1 species